UUUGCAUUUUGAACCUUACUGUUGCUUUUAUAGUGGAAAGCUCUGAAAGGCAUCAAGGGCCAAUUACACAGACAGAGAUAGACGUGACCUGGACCAUUCUGUUACCGUAACAAACGUCUCCAGAGGUUGCUCGACAGAGGAGACACUUUGCCUGAGGGAGAAGGAAUGAGAGGCUGGAAGGUGGCCUGUGGAGAAGAGGAUGGAGGGACUCCAGAGGGCAGCUGGACUCUUGCUGCAGGAGCUGUGCURGGAUGGCUAAAGCAGCGU